rnacentral:rRNA from 1 species
GUAGGGAAUAUUGGUCAAUGGGCGAGGGCCUGAACCAGCCAUGCCGCGUGCAGGAAGACGGCCUUCUGGGUUGUAAACUGCUUUUGGCCGGGAACAAAAAGCCCCUGCGGGGGAAAUUGAGUGUACCGGCAGAAUAAGCACCGGCUAACUCCGUGCCAGCAGCCGCGGUAAUACGGAGGGUGCAAGCGUUGUCCGGAUUUAUUGGGUUUAAAGGGUGCGUAGGCAGGCCAAUAAGUCAGUGGUGAAAGCCCACAGCUCAACUGUGGAACCGCCAUUGAUACUGUUGGCCUUGAGUACCGUUGGGGCAGGCGGAAUUUAUGGUGUAGCGGUGAAAUGCAUAGAUACCAUAAAGAACACCGAUAGCGUAGGCAGCUUGCUAAACGGUAACUGACGCUGAGGCACGAAAGCAUGGGGAGCGAACAGGAUUAGAUACCCUGGUAGUCCAUGCCGUAAACGAUGAUUACCCGAUGUGCGCGAUACACUGUGCGCGUCCAAGCGAAAGCGUUAAGUAAUC